rnacentral:rRNA from 1 species
ACCUUCGGGCCUCUUGCCAUCGGAUGUGCCCAGAUGGGAUUAGCUAGUAGGUGGGGUAAAGGCUCACCUAGGCGACGAUCCCUAGCUGGUCUGAGAGGAUGACCAGCCACACUGGAACUGAGACACGGUCCAGACUCCUACGGGAGGCAGCAGUGGGGAAUAUUGCACAAUGGGCGCAAGCCUGAUGCAGCCAUGCCGCGUGUAUGAAGAAGGCCUUCGGGUUGUAAAGUACUUUCAGCGGGGAGGAAGGGAGUAAAGUUAAUACCUUUGCUCAUUGACGUUACCCGCAGAAGAAGCACCGGCUAACUCCGUGCCAGCAGCCGCGGUAAUACGGAGGGUGCAAGCGUUAAUCGGAAUUACUGGGCGUAAAGCGCACGCAGGCGGUUUGUUAAGUCAGAUGUGAAAUCCCCGGGCUCAACCUGGGAACUGCAUCUGAUACUGGCAAGCUUGAGUCUCGUAGAGGGGGGUAGAAUUCCAGGUGUAGCGGUGAAAUGCGUAGAGAUCUGGAGGAAUACCGGUGGCGAAGGCGGCCCCCUGGACGAAGACUGACGCUCAGGUGCGAAAGCGUGGGGAGCAAACAGGAUUAGA